UUCGUUUGUUCCAAUAAAAUUCCCCUUGAUUAAAUGUAGUUCUCUCACAACAUCUUUCAUGUUCAUACGUGCUCUUGGCGAUUCCAUGGAGCACUGGAGUGCAAUUUCAAUUAUUGAAGUCAUGCAAUCUUGCAAUCUAUUUG